GGUGGUGAAUGUGACGGCCUGGACCUCCAUCGUGCGGCUGCUCGCCACCUGCGCGGGGAAAACGCCCCAGACGGCGGCGAAGAUCAACACUUACAAGCGGCCACGCAGCGUGAUCCUGGAGCCGCAGGCCCUCGUGGGCGGCCGCUACACCCUGCGCUGCUAUGUGACACACCUGUUCCCCGUGGGCUUGCUGGUGCUGACCCUGCGACGUGGCGGCCGGAUCAUGUAUUUUGAACGCCUGGAGCGCUUCAAAAGCCUAGAUCUGGCCAACGUGACCCUGACCCACACGUUUCACGCCAGGCCCAGAGACCUCUGGCAGCCCAUGACCUGCCACGCGCGCCUCAAUCUCAGCGGCCUGGUGGUGUACAGCAGCUCGGCACCUGUCAUCCUGACAGCCCUGGAUUGGAGCCCUGAGUCCAAAGCCUUGGCCUACACAUCCAUUGCGGCCUUCGUGGGGAUCCUUCUAGCACUGGGGGUCACCUUCCUGAACAGAUGCCUAGCAACGCGACAUACAGGGAAGUGCUCUGCCGGCUGAGAGCAAGGGAAAAAAAAUCUGGAACAAUUUGCAAUUCGGAAAACUGCUCAGACCAAUAAAGAUUCC
rnacentral:lncRNA from 1 species